rnacentral:lncRNA from 1 species
AUCAAAACUUUUUAAAAGGUACAAAUUUAAUACCCUUUGAAAAUUACACAUCAACCCUAGAUUUAAAUUAAAACUGGGUCCCUCAAUAUUUAAAAUUGUGUGGCAGGUCCUUACUUAAAAAUUUGCAAAACAAGCCCUAAUCCCUUAAUUUCUGUAUGGACCUCUAAACUCACAAAUUGCAAGACUAGUCCCAUCCCCAAAUAUAUUACAUAUGGCUAAAAUCAAAGAUUAUAACCCAAAAGAAAAAACCACCAUUCUUCUCUCAAUUUUCGCCGUCGACGACAUGGUUAUGUGUCAAUAAUAACUGAUUUAUCAACUUAUAAGGAGUUAGAAUUCAAAAAGGACAACCACGAC